CUUCUUUAAAAGAAUAUGCCAGAGGACAUUAACGUUACCUUGAUAACUCCAGGAUUUUCAAAGUCAAAUAUUUUGCUCUCUUAUAUUACUUUGAUAUCCUUAAGAAAUCUUAAAACAUAGGCUACUGUGACAAAAGUCUUUAGAACAGAGGACUUUUAUAUUUCUCAACUUUUUAAAAAAUUUUUUUUAGUUUUAAGUUUUCUUGUUAAAGUUUACAGAAACUCUGCUUUCCCUGCACACCCUCACCACUCAUCUUAUAUUCAGCUGUGAGCUUUUAAAGUCCUGACAUCCUUUAUUAAGCAAAGGCAAAUACAAACACACAGUGGUUCCCCAUCUUGGCCCUGAUUGUAACCACCUGAGAACCUUAACAUCCACGGGGCAGCCCCCUCUUCAGACCCUAGAAUUUAUCAUUUAAUUGCCCAGGACAUGAGUUGGUUUUGUGUUUUUUUGUUCCCAGGUGAUUCUAAUAGGCACCUCAUGUGGAAAACUACUCACAGGGUUUAACAAAGAAAACAUUUGGAAUAACCCAAACUUUCCUCCGUUUUGGGGGUGACUAUUCAAGCAGCCUUGCCUCUUGCUCUUCGAUUGGCUCUCCCAUUAGUGUCCUUCCCUUGAGCAUGGCUGUCCUCACCCCGACUCAGCCCCAAAGUUUUGAGGCUCCCAUUAAAAAUUCCAGACCAAGAACAGGUGAGAGAUUCCAGGCAGGGAAGUAACGUGCCUGACAUCCAUGGAACCAGUUCCUCCCAGAGGUGGCACUGCUGACUCUCCGUUCACAGCCACUUACACUACCGUCCCUGCAGAAAUGGGGUGCUACAGAGAAUGUCCUUAGCAAACUUUCAGAGACAAGGCUAUUUUAGAGUGCAAGAGCAAAAACCCAUUCAACCCGGCAAAAAUCACAGAGUCUUAGAAAGAAUCAGGAUCUUACAGAGCUCCAGUCAGGCCUCAUUGGGAACUGGAACCAGCAAUUGGAAAAGCAGCAGGAACCUAGACAGUUAUUGUCCCUCGUGUGGGUGUGUGUAUUUGUCUCCAGGCUACUUUCUCUCUGCUUCCCUUUGCACAUGAAGCUGCAGGAGCAGGAACCUGGUCAGCCCUUUCGGUCAGGUGUCCACCCCUUCUCCCUCCAGGAACGAGCAGGGAGCGGAGCCAGUUGUAGAAACAUGGGAAGAAAGUUUGAGGACGGUGGCUAACUGCCGCCGGGGACCUACGUCAGAGCUUGAACUGACCUCCCCUCAAGGGUUCUCAUAUGGGCACAGAACCUAGAGCUCAUUCAGUGCAACGCCCUCAUGUUCCUGGGUGUCUGUCACCGGUUCUGUGUCUACUGAUGCGCAGGCAUAAAUCUCCAAUUUUUCAACAACUUAUUUACAGAAAGAAUCGCGAAGCCGCUGACCUCAGACUCGCAUCUCUGAGGAACCUGACUUUGGACUUUAGCCUACGUGUUAAACCUCAGGAAAUUUUAUACAUGAGCAAGGAACACAGGACCCAAGACAAGCAGACUGAUCGUCAAGCCGCUGUCUCAAUUUUUUUAAAUGUUCUUGAGAACAUUUGACGUGUUCUUCGAGCCAAAGCAAUAGCUUCUUAUUUGGUGAGCAUGUUUUUUGAGACAAUACGAGGCUCGACUUUAAAAUUUACCCAAAUAAAAGUGUGUAUGCAUGUCUGUUAAUUCCUAAUGUCAUUCUUCUUUCAUAUAUAUUUUUUGCAUAAUUUUCAGCUAUUCUGCACGAAUUAAAACUGGUUAGUUUUUCCUUCUUUUCAUUACUGUUCCAGCCUUCUUAGGAUGAGCUCUAUUACAUAAAAAGGAUUGCGCUUUACUUUUCCUUCUACUCUGGAUCUGUAUCUCUGAAACUGUUCAUGUAGACUUUGGGCCAAUGACUGAUUAUUCCAUAGAGAAGCUGGGUCACAAAAAAUAUUGAUUACAGAUCACAUAGACUUGUGUGACUCAUAGGAGGUGGUGUAAAAGAAAGCUAAGUGGGGAAAAUUCUUGUUUUC
ensembl:lncRNA